AGAGCAUUGCUAUAUGCUAGCGGCUAACACGACCUCAACCUGGAGCUGGACUUUAUCUUUCAGAUGGGCCGCACACAUGGAUACACGGAGGGCCUAAUAAGAAGGGUAUAUGAUAGAAUAAAACAACGUACACCCGGCGAGGAGAAAAUGAAAAGAGCGGAUGACACCACCUAUCAAGCUGUGCCGUAUACGAUGAAAAGCUCGAAUGUAACGAAGAAAAUAGCGCAAAAAACAGGCAAGAGGUUAACGUACAAGCGAUGCGCCACCGUGUAUACUAGACUCCGUUGUGACAAAGAUAAGCUAAAAGAAGAGCAGCGAGCUGGGGUAUAUCAGAUCCCCAUU
rnacentral:lncRNA from 1 species